rnacentral:rRNA from 1 species
GACGAACGCUGGCGGCGUGCUUAACACAUGCAAGUCGAACGGAAAGGCCCUGCUUUUGUGGGGUGCUCGAGUGGCGAACGGGUGCGUAACACGUGAGUAACCUGCCCUUGACUUUGGUAUAACUUCAGGAAACUGGGGCUAAUACCGGAUCGGAUCUCCUGCUGCAUGGUGGGGGUUGGAACGUUUCGGCGGUUGGGGUUGGACUCGCGGCUUAUCAGCUUGUUGGUGGGGUAGUGGCUUACCCAGGCUUUGACGGGUAGCCGGCCUGAGAGGGUGACCGGCCACAUUGGGACUGAGAGACGGCCCAGACUCCUACGGGAGGCAGCAGGGGGGAAUAUGGCACAAUGGGAGGAAGCCUGAUGCAGCAACGCCGCGUGCGGGAUGACGGCCUUCGGGUUGUAAACCGCUUUCGCCUGUGACGAAGCGUGAGUGACGGUAAUGGGUAAAGAAGCACCGGCUAACUACGUG